CGAAUGGUUUCUCCCUCCUCUCCCGGACGGAUUGCGCCGCUGGAGCCGGACAGCCCGAGCGCUGAGCUGCCGGAGCCGGUUGCCCACCGCCCCUCGCUCUCCUCCCCUCUGGAUGUUGGAGGAACCGCGUCCCCCCCCCCCCCUCCACCACCUCCCCUGCUGCAGAAAGAGAGGAGAUUACGCGGACGCGCGGAGGGGAGACUUUAUUCCAUUUUCCACGUCGGGCUGGAAGCCGCGCGCUUCCGCACACCAUGGCUUCCAACUUCAACGACAUAGUCAAACAGGGAUACGUGCGGAUACGGAGUAAGAAGCUGGGGAUCUUCCGGAGGUGUUGGCUAGUGUUUAAGAAGGCCUCCAGUAAAGGGCCCCGGCGGUUAGAGAAGUACCCGGACGAGAAGGCGGCCUACUUCAGGAGCUUCCACAAGGUCACUGAGCUCCACAACGUCAAGAACGUGACCCGGAUGCCGCGCGAGACCAAGAAGCACGCCGUGGCCAUCAUCUUCUGUGACGACGCAGUCAAGACCUUCGCCUGCGAGUCAGAGCUGGACGCGGAGGAGUGGUGCAAGCUGCUGUGCGUGGAGUGCCUGGGCAGCCGGCUCAAUGACAUCAGCCUGGGGGAGCCGGACCUGUUAGCGGCGGGCGUGCAGCAGGAGCAGAACGAGCGCUUCCACGUGUACCUGAUGCCCACGCCCAACCUGGACAUCUACGGGGAGUGCACCAUGCAGAUCACGCACGAGAACAUCUACCUGUGGGACGUCCACAACGCCCGCCUCAAGCUGGUCAUGUGGCCCCUCAGCUCCCUGCGCCGAUACGGCCGGGACGCCACCUGGUUCACCUUCGAGUCUGGAAGGAUGUGCGACACGGGCGAAGGCUUGUUCACGUUCCAGACGCGCGAAGGCGAGAUGAUCUACCAGCGCGUCCACUCGGCCACGCUGGCCAUCGCUCAGCAGCACGAGAGGAUGAUGGAGGAGAUGGAGAAGAGCUCCCAGAUCCACUCCAGGGAGACGCUCACCAAGUCCAUCUCGCUGCCACGCAGCGCCUACUGGCAGCACAUCACGCGGCAGAACAGCGUGGGAGACCUCUACAGUUACCAAGUGUGUUUGAGGACGCGGCGAAAGGUCUCGUCAGACGGGGGAGUGACAGGAGUUGGACCCCUGCUGUGAGGAGGAGCCUUCAACCGAGCUGCGGAUGAGGACGGCAACGCCAUCGAGUCCUCAUUGGCAGAAGCUCUGGAUUUUCCUGGAGCUGUUUUACAUUUCACUCGCUAAACACAGUAGCGGGAUCCGAUUUAUUGGAUUACGAUCAAUGGAACUGUUAAACUACAUUUUUCAAUAUAGGUCAGCGUUUGGUUACUUUCUAUCUAUUUCCGCUGAUUAUUCUCAGCUUUUAGCACAUUUGCAAUUUCUGGCCAAAUAUUUCAUCCACUUAUCAGUUAAUUGUAGGUAAACGAUGAGUCAUCCGCUGUUUACGCUGCCUGUCAAUCACGUUGGGCUCCAUUCAGCUCCACAUAAGUUAUCUGUACAAAACCAAUCUGAACAUGCUCAUUAUUAUUUUUAAACACCUAUCUGUCCAUCAGCUCAUAGUUUUGACGUCACGUGGACGCUUGCUAUGUUCAUCCUACUUCUACAAGCCCGCUGGUAAUUACAGCUAACGCACGCAUUCACGCACGCGAUCGGAGGUAAGACAUCAGGACUUCGGUCCUCGGCGUGUGGCUGAGUCUGCUCUUUGGCUGUAUCACGGCGCUCAUGAUGAAUAUCCAAUCAACACAGUCAAUUUGCUGAGUCAUGCUCGGAUUGCUUUCAAAUACCCUGCAGGGGCAGGGGGAUAAUUAAGUAACACAGUUUCCUUCCCCGUUGAGGUUUACUCACCCAUUUGUUUAUUUCCUUGCCUCAGUUAAUAGGGGAGCUGCCAAGUGAAGUACUGCUUCUCCUCACUUUAAUAUAUCUCACAUCUGCUUUUUGUUCCGCUGGAAAUGUGUCAAAAGUACAUCCCAGAAGCCCUGUUUGCUGUAAUUGAAAGUAAUAAUUGUCAAAUGCGUUGUGUUUAAAAGCAGAAAUGCUGCUUUGUGCUGCCUCCUCCACCUCCGUCGACUCCUGCGCGUUUCUUAUUUCGGCGAGUUCGUUAAUGCACAGAAAAUAAGAGCACUUUUAAAGUCGGGGAGCGGGAGAUGCCUGGAAACCGUUCAAUUACCAACUCUAAUAUUGGAACGGAACAGGACGCACGUCGUCGCUCUCUGCUCCUCUCCUUUUUUUUGCGCUACUUUUUAUUGUUGCUCCUCUCUCUCGUGCGCGCGCGCGCGCUACGCUUCGCAGCCUAGCGCCGAACCAUUAGCAAUUCUAAUGAAAACCAGCGCUGUUCUUAGUUUGAUCGGCGCCGAGUGAUACGAGGGGAUUUUACAGAGCGGGAGCAAGUAUCAAAGACACGCAGACAAGAUGAUACGGGGACGGGCCGUGAUAACGCUAUCUUGAUCCGCAUCAGUCAGGAAGGAAUAUAGUCCGUGUUGAUGCCAAAUUUGAAUCCCAUGAAAAAUUCAUCAGACGCAGGAACCGGCCUGUCGAUGACUUUCAUCCCGCGAGCGCAGACGUUUCCCAGCUUCCUGUCGGACGAGGCGGAGCAGGAGGAGGACCUGCACCAGGAAGAGGCACCAUUGCCCUCUAGUGGCUGCGAAUCCAG